GGCCUAACACAUGCAAGUCAGGGGCGAGCACAAGGAGCAAUCUGAGGUGGCGACCGGCGCACGGGUGAGUAACACGUAUGCAACCUGCCUGUAAGCGGGGAAUAACCCGUUGAAAGACGGACUAAUACCGCAUAAUACUAAAUUACUGCAUGGUAAUUAUUUAAACAUUUAUGGCUUACAGAUGGGCAUGCGCAUGAUUAGCUAGUUGGAGAGGUAACGGCUCCCCAAGGCAACGAUCAUUAGGGGUUCUGAGAGGAAGGUCCCCCACACUGGUACUGAGACACGGACCAGACUCCUACGGGAGGCAGCAGUGAGGAAUAUUGGUCAAUGGACGAGAGUCUGAACCAGCCAAGUCGCGUGCAGGAAGAAUGUCCCAAUGGAUUGUAAACUGCUUUUGCAGGGGAAUAAAGUGCAUCACGUGUGAUGUUUUGUAUGUACUCUGCGAAUAAGGAUCGGCUAACUCCGUGCCAGCAGCCGC
rnacentral:rRNA from 1 species